AAAAUGACAAAGAGCACUCUGAUUGGCUUAAACCCACCAAUCAGAGUGUUCUUAGCCUAAUUGCAGGGCGUGGCAAGGCUUUACAAGCCUUCCCCCACCCUGCAGAGCUCAGUCUGCGCAGAGCCCUCCAUGGGUGAAGAUGGAUUAUUUUUGCGCUCGGGUUUUUUCUUUUUCGUCAGGUUUUUUUUUUGCGCUCAGGAUUUUUAUUUUAUUUUCAAUUCGACGGUUAUGAUGGUUUUUUAUUUGGCCUUUUUUGGGGCUGAAAAAAGAAGAUUUGAGAAAAAAGAAGACGUUGAAUGGUAAGUUUACUUUUAUUUUACAGGUUAGUUAUUUUAUUCCCCCCUCAC